rnacentral:rRNA from 1 species
AUUGAACGCUGGCGGCAGGCCUAACACAUGCAAGUCGAGCGGAUGAGUGGAGCUUGCUCCAUGAUUCAGCGGCGGACGGGUGAGUAAUGCCUAGGAAUCUGCCUGGUAGUGGGGGACAACGUUUCGAAAGGAACGCUAAUACCGCAUACGUCCUACGGGAGAAAGUGGGGGAGCUUCGGACCUCACGCUAUCAGAUGAGCCUAGGUCGGAUUAGCUAGUUGGUGAGGUAAAGGCUCACCAAGGCGACGAUCCGUAACUGGUCUGAGAGGAUGAUCAGUCACACUGGAACUAAGACACGGACCAGACUCCUACGGGAGGCAGCAGUGGGGAAUAUUGGACAAUGGGCGAAAGCCUGAUCCAGCCAUGCCGCGUGUGUGAAGAAGGUCUUCGGAUUGUAAAGCACUUUAAGUUGGGAGGAAGGGCAGUAAGUUAAUACCUUGCUGUUUUGACAUUACCAACAGAAUAAGCACCGGCUAACUUCGUGCCAGCCGCCGCAGUAACAC